GAGUGAUGUGCUUCCUUAUGCACAGCAAACCUCAGUCAGUCACACAGUGACACACUCCUGCCCAGAUAUACUUGGCAACAUGCACAGCGACAGCCUGGCCUGGAGCACUGAAUUUAGAAAUCCUCGCAGGCUCCCACAAGGGCGUCCUCUCCCUUGAAGCUGAAAACAAAACUCCCCAGUGACUCCAAUCCAUGGUGCCAAAAGAGGUUCAGCCACUUCCUCCUCUGAUAUGAGACUUUUCUCAUCACUGUGGCAUUUCCCUGGUGAGGAUACCCCUAAGUUGCUGCCAUUUAUCAGGCAUCUCCCUCCUCUUCUUCACAAAUAAUACCUUUCAGUGUCACCUAUGCAACAAAUAUAUCACUGCGUGCCAGCCUUUUGAUGGGAUCAGAGGAAAGUGAAACAAGGUAAUUUAUGAUAUUGUAAUCUCAUAAUGGAAAAACAAUACUAAUAACUUGCCAGCAGACAACACGUUUUUUCUCCAUAACAAAAAAUUAUAGCUUCCUCCUUAUGUUACAAAAUGAGUCACUGAUUAGUCUUGCACUAUCCCCUCACCUCAGCAAUCUUAAUUAAUAUAUGGUAAUUAACAUAUGAUGGCACAUUAACUGUGCACAUAAAUCCCAGUAGUAGCUUUACUGUAUAUCUUUCAUCUCAAAAAACAAAAUAAAAAGCUCCAGUAAGAUACCAUGAUAAAAAUGCUGUUGAGUAUUUUGUUGAAGUCAUGGAAGAAAUG